rnacentral:rRNA from 1 species
AGAGUUUGAUCCUGGCUCAGAGUGAACGCUGGCGGCGUGGAUUAGGCAUGCAAGUCGAGCGAUACCCUGGAUGGAGAGAUUGAAGCCGCAAGGCGGAUGUCGAUUUGUCCGGGGAUAUAGCGGCAGACUGGUGAGGAACACGUGAGUAAUAUACCUCCAAGUUGGGAAUAGCCUUGCGAAAGUGAGGGUAAUACCCGAUGUGUUUACGGCGGCGCAAGCCGCUGCAAGUAAAGGUGCACCGGCGAAAGCCGGGGUGCCGCUUGAAGAUUAGCUCGCGUCCUAUCAGCUAGUUGGUGGGGUAAUGGCCUACCAAGGCUUUUGACGGGUAGCUGGCCUGAGAGGGUGGUCAGCCACACGGGGACUGAGACACUGCCCCGACUCCUACGGGAGGCUGCAGUCGAGGAUCUUUAGCAAUGGGCGAAAGCCUGACUAUGCGACGCCGCGUGAGGGAUGAAGGUUUUCGGAUCGUAAACCUCUUUCGAUGGGGAAGAAUGUCCAGGCUUAACCGUCUGGAUUGACGGUACCUAGAGAAGAAGCCACGGCCAACUCCGUGCCAGCAGCCGCGGUAAUACGGGGGUGGCGAGCGUUACUCGGAUUUAUUGGGUGUAAAGGGCAGGUAGGCGUCCUGUCAAGUUUCAGGUGAAAUCCUGCGGCUCAACCGCAGAACUGCCUGAAAAACUGUCAGGAUUGAGGCCGGAAGAGGAGAGCGGAAUUCCCGGUGUAAGGGUGAAAUCUGUAGAUAUCGGGAGGAACACCAGUGGCGAAAGCGGCUCUCUGGUCCGGCUCUGACGCUGAACUGCGAAAGCUCGGGGAGCAAACAGGAUUAGAUACCCUGGUAGUCCGAGCCGUAAACGAUGAGCACUAGGUGUUGGGGAGCAAUCCUUAGCGCCGUAAGAUAACUCGUUAAGUGCUCCACCUGGGGACUACGACCGCAAGGUUAAAACU